UACGAAGGGGGCUAGCGUUGCUCGGAAUCACUGGGCGUAAAGGGUGCGUAGGCGGGUCUUUAAGUCAGAGGUGAAAUCCUGGAGCUCAACUCCAGAACUGCCUUUGAUACUGAGGAUCUUGAGUACGGGAGAGGUAAGUGGAACUGCGAGUGUAGAGGUGAAAUUCGUAGAUAUUCGCAAGAACACCAGUGGCGAAGGCGGCUCACUGGCCCGUUACUGACGCUGAGGCACGAAAGCGUGGGGAGCAAACAGG
rnacentral:rRNA from 1 species